CCUACGGGAGGCAGCAGUAGGGAAUAUUGUUCAAUGGGGGAAACCCUGAAGCAGCAACGCCGCGUGGAGGAUGAAGGUUUUCGGAUUGUAAACUCCUUUUGUUAGAGAAGAUAAUGACGGUAUCUAACGAAUAAGCCCCGGCUAACUCCGUGCCAGCAGCCGCGGUCAUACGGAGGGUGCAAGCGUUACUCGGAAUCACUGGGCAUAAAGAGCGCGUAGGCGGGAUAGCAAGUCAGAUGUGAAAUCCUAUGGCUUAACCAUAGAACUGCAUUUGAAACUGUUAUUCUAGAGUAUGGGAGAGGUAGGUGGAAUUCUUGGUGUAGGGGUAAAAUCCGUAGAGAUCAAGAGGAAUACUCAUUGCGAAGGCGACCUGCUAGAACAUAACUGACGCUGAUGCGCGAAAGCGUGGGGAGCAAACAGGAUUAGAUACCCCAGUAGUC
rnacentral:rRNA from 1 species